CUGNCGUUGCUUACACAUGCAAGUCGAACGGUARCAGGCCUUCGGGCGCUGACGAGUGGCGGACGGGUGAGUAACGCGUAGGAAUCUGCCUGRUAGUGGGGGACAACKURGGGAAACYYAMGCUAAUACCGCAUACGCUCCUUGUUGCAMGAUGGGGAGGAAAGCGGGGGAUCCUGUUCUUCGGAAUSGGACCUCGCGCUAUCAGAUGAGCCUGCGUUAGAUUAGCUAGUUGGUGGGGUAAAGGCCUACCAAGGCGACGAUCUAUAGCUGGUCUGAGAGGACGAUCAGCCACACUGGGACUGAGACACGGCCCAGACUCCUACGGGAGGCAGCAGUGGGGAAUAUUGGACAAUGGGCGCAAGCCUGAUCCAGCAAUACCGCGUGUGUGAAGAAGGCCYKAGGGUUGUAAAGCACUUUCAAUGGGGAGGAAAACCUGCCGGUCAAUACCCGGCAGCUUGACAUUACCURUAGAAGAAGCACCGGCUAACUCCGUGCCAGCAGCCGCGGUAAUACGGAGGGUGCGAGCGUUAAUCGGAAUUACUGGGCGUAAAGCGUGCGUAGGYGGUKMRUUAAGUCAGAUGUGAAAGCCCYGGGCUUAACCUGGGAACKGCAUUUGAWACUGGYKWACUMGAGUUKAGUAGAGGGGAGUGGAACUUCAGGUGUAGCGGUGAAAUGCGUAGAUAUC
rnacentral:rRNA from 1 species